rnacentral:tRNA from 1 species
UCCCUGGUGGUUCAGUGGUGAAGAGCCCUCGCUUCUAAUGCAGGGAGCCCGAGUUCGAUCCCUGGUCGGGGAA